GCCUGCCUAGUUUAGUGGUUUGAGCAUUGGACUGUGACUCUGGAGAUCGGAGUUUAAUUCUCCACUAGGUU